CCUACGGGUGGCUGCAGUGAGGAAUAUUGGUCAAUGGACGCAAGCCUGAACCAGCCAAGUCGCGUGCAGGAUGACGGCCCUCCGGGUUGUAAACUGCUUUUAGUUGGGAAUAAAAGGGGGCUCGUGAGCCCCGUAUUGUAUGUACCACCAGAAAAACGACCGGCGAAUUCCGUGCCAGCAGCCGGGGUAAUACGGAAGGUCCGGGCGUUAUCCGGAUUUAUGGGGUUUAAAGGGAGCGAAGGCCGUAUUUUAAGUCAGCUGUGAAAGUCCGCGGCUCAACCGUGGGAUUGCAGUUGAAACUGGAGGCCUUGAGUGCACACAGAGAUGGCGGAAUUCAUGGUGUAGCGGUGAAAUGCUUAGAUAUCAUGAAGAACUCCGAUCGCGAAGGCAGGUGUCCGGGGUGCAACUGACGCUGAGGCUCGAAAGUGCGGGUAUCAAACAGGAUUAGAUACCCGUGUAGUC
rnacentral:rRNA from 1 species